rnacentral:rRNA from 1 species
AAUCCGGGGCACCCAGCCCCCGAGUUGUAAUUUCGAGAGGCAUCUUCUGGGGGGAGCGUCGGCCCAUGUUCCUUGGAACAGGACGUCACAGAGGGUGAGAAUCCCGUGCAUGGCCGGCUGCCCCCUCCGCCGUGAAGGGCCUUCGACGAGUCGAGUUGUUUGGGAAUGCAGCUCCAAGUGGGUGGUAAAUUUCAUCUAAAGCUAAAUACCGGCGGGAGACCGAUAGCGCACAAGUAGAGUGAUCGAAAGAUGAAAAGCACUUUGAAAAUAGAGUCAAAAAGUACGUGAAAUUGUUGAAAGGGAAGCGCUUGAGACCAGACUCAGGCCCAGGCAAACACCGAUCCCCUCGGGGCCGUGCAAUUGCCUGGGCCUGGGCCAGCAUCAGUUGGCGUGGCGGGACAAAGGCACGGGCAAUGUGGCUCCCCUCGGGGAGUGUUAUUAGGCCCGCGCUCAAUGCCGCCGACGUCGACUGAGGACCGCGCCUCGGCUAGGAUGCUGGCUUAAUGGCCUUCAGCGACCCGUCUUGAAACACGGA